rnacentral:tRNA from 1 species
CGGCCUGUAGCUCAAUGGUAGAGCUCUCGUCUUAUACACGAGCGGUUCCAGGUUCGAGUCCUGGCAGGCCGA